rnacentral:tRNA from 1 species
GCCUCUGUAGCUCAGUUGGUUAGAGCGCUGCACCGGAAUCGCAGGGCGGUAGGUUCAAUUCCUACCAGAGGAC